rnacentral:rRNA from 1 species
GUCUAUGGCCAUACCACCCUGAACGCACCCAAUCUCGAAUGAUCUCGGAAGCUAAUGAAGGUUGGGCCUGGUUAGUACUUGAAUGGGAGAAUUCUGCCUACCAUGGACC